ensembl:snRNA U6 U6 spliceosomal RNA
GUGCUUGCUUCAGCAGCACAUACACUAAAAUUGGAAUGAUACAGAGAAGAUUAGCAUGGCCCCUGUGUGACGAUGACAGGCAAAUUCGUGAAGUGUUCCAUAUUUUU